CGAAAAUAAAUACUAGUAUGGUAGUGUGUUUCUGGUUCCAUAACUAACUUUUCAUUACAUACUGUUAUCCAUUUCAUCAGCAUGUUUUCAGGUACAUGUGUUUAAUAGUCACAAAAACUGAUUGUUCUGUUUACAUUUCCACAGAUAACGAAUAACAAAUAUAGGAAAAUACAGACUUCGCUAUAACCGAGUUUCACUGUAUGUAUUUAUACACGGGGUGGGUCAGUCGAGGCGAAACACCAAUAGAAUGUUACAUGUACUUGAAAAAAUAUUUUAACAGUCCAUGAUUUUUUUAGGUUGGAAUAAGAAAUCUGCUUUUAAUUCCUAAUUAAAUAAAUAAGAGGUUGAACCUAAUGAAUCUUUCUCGUUUGAAAAUUUGAUGUUUUUUCUUUUUAUCUGGCGUUACUUCAUUGCUAUUUUAGCCAUUAAGUUUGUUAAAUCAUUUUGGACAAAAACAAUUCUGUGGCGAUGGGUAGUUUGAAUAAUGUUUCAGGGGAUUUAUUGUGCAAUAUUUUUAAAGAUCAGUUUAUUGCAUACUUUGUUUUUACUUUUAUUGUCUAAUUCAAUUCGUGAAAACCACACAAUUUUAGGUCUCAUUCAAUAUGCAUGUACUCCUGUGAGCAGGUUGAAUUCGUUACAAAAAUAAAUGAAACAGCACAAGUUUAUUUGUUUUAUCAUAAAUGUGUUGAAUUUCAAAAUUUGAUAACUUUUGGGUCCUUCCAACCUUAUACGGACACUGCUUGAGUUUAUCUUGAUUUUACUGUAUUUAACAGCUUUUGGCUCCUUGAACAAAAUUGAUCAAAUUUGUUGCGAUAUAGUUACGUUCUGUAUUUUUGCAAAUGCUGGUUGCAGUAGAAGCUGUUUUUACUAUUUGUCAAGUUAUGCAUGUACAUGUAAAAUGAACAUUUAUUUUUAAAUAAAACUGAACUUUCAAUG
rnacentral:sRNA from 1 species